AUUGCGGCCAUGGGUUAGCCUAUGGCCACGUCUGUCCGAGGGUCG
rnacentral:rRNA from 1 species